CAGGCUUAUGCUCUUUUAGUUGGGGAUUUCAUUUACGCUGAACUGUUUGUCGUGCAAUUCGAUGUGGUCUGA
rnacentral:tRNA from 1 species